rnacentral:rRNA from 1 species
UACGUAGGCAGCGAGCGUUGUUCGGAGUUACUGGGCGUAAAGGGUGUGUAGGCGGUUUUCUAAGUUUGGUGUGAAAUCUCCCGGCUCAACCGGGAGGGUGCGCCGAAAACUGGGAGACUAGAGUGCGGGAUGGGAGAGUAGAAUUCCUGGUGUAGCGGUGAAAUGCGUAGAUAUCAGGAGGAACACCGGUGGCGAAGGCGGGUCUCUGGGCCGUUACUGACGCUGAGGAGCGAAAGCGUGGGGAGCGAACAGG